rnacentral:snRNA from 1 species
AUCACUUCUGGGCCUUUUGGCUAAGAUCAAGUGUAGAAACUGUAACAUGCCCCAUACUUUGAUUUGUGGAGAGUUAAGCUAGGCUUUCUCUUUUUUUGCCUUUACAAGGGUAACUUUA